AGUGAACGCUGGCGGUAGGCCUAACACAUGCAAGUCGAACGGCAGCACAGUAAGAGCUUGCUCUUACGGGUGGCGAGUGGCGGACGGGUGAGGAAUACAUCGGAAUCUACUUUUUCGUGGGGGAUAACGUAGGGAAACUUACGCUAAUACCGCAUACGACCUACGGGCGAAAGCAGGGGAUCUUCGGACCUUGCGCGAUUGAAUGAGCCGAUGUCGGAUUAGCUAGUUGGCGGGGUAAAGGCCCACCACGGCGACGAUCCGUAGCUGGUCUGAGAGGAGGAGCAGCCACACUGGAACUGAGACACGGUCCAGACUCCUACGGGAGGCAGCAGUGGGGAAUAUUGGACAAUGGGCGCAAGCCUGAUCCAGCCAUACCGCGUGGGUGAAGAAGGCCUUCGGGUUGUAAAGCCCUUUUGUUGGGAAAGAAAAGCAGCAGGUUAAUACCCCGCUGUUCUGACGGUACCCAAAGAAUAAGCACCGGCUAACUUCGUG
rnacentral:rRNA from 1 species